GGCAGCGCUCCGGGCCCCGCCACGUGCGCGAAGUGCCGGCGGGGCGUCCUCCGGAGGGGGAGCGGCUCCGUGAAGGGCGGCGAUCCCGUGGGCUGGGGAGGAACGCGCGGGGAAACGCCGCGUCCGUCUUCGGGCAGCAGCGAGCGGAGCGGGAACGGAGCGCUCCGGUGUCGCCGCUCGGCCCCUUUCCGGCAACGGCCCCGAGCUGGGAGCCAGAGGCAAACCUGCCCCACAACACCAUUUGAUAACAAUACAUUUCACGACUGCCUCUUUUUUUUUUUUGGGUCCAAACUCUUUUAUCACCAAAGGAUUGAUGUGACUUACCACAUAGAUCUCAUGUCAGGAACAAGAACUGAAGUUGUCUUACUUUUCCUUAAAAAAGGAAAAAGUUUGCUCUUGAAGUAUUGCCAACAAAUAAUACUUUCAGAACCUCUUGCAUAGUUCGGAUGCCAAAGUCACACUGGAAGUCAGUGAGAUUCAAGAUUUUAACUCGCACUGCAAAUGUGAUUCAAAGGCUUUAAGGGUGAAGCGUCUGUCCCUGCAGAGGAUCUGAGCAAGGCUCCUUUACCCUUCAGGUUCUGGGCUGAUCGGUAGGACCAAGAGGUGGGAGAGAGGUCACAGAGGGCUCCUGCCAUCUACGGAUAUGCUGAUCAUAAGUUUGCCUGAAUGUGGAGAAGAGUGAAGAUGAAGCACAGUGGCUCAGGAAGCACAUAACACAAUGCUUCUCAUUUUAAGAGUCUGAUAAUUAAGCCAUUAAAGAGUGCUGGGACUAGCAAUACCAUGUCUACGGGGAGCUAAUUACUUGUACCACUGGUAAAAUACCAUGACAACAAUAAAGGACAUUUUAUAGACAAGGAAUGCUGACAAGCUCCUGCCCUGAAGCAUGCAGCUGGAGGGCUCAGCCUGUACCCUUCCAAGUCAGUGGAACAUCUCCAGUGCACAACAGCAACUUGGGACCCGCAUUUCUGCUGUCAAGUUUGCGUGGAAAUAAAUAGGAGGCAUCACUUCUGGACCAGUCUACGUGUUACAGCAGAACAGCCCCCUUGGCCUUCAUUCCAUUCCUCUUCCUGGUGGGACAGAAGCAUCUGAAUGCAUUACAGAAAAAUUACACUCCCUCCAUAUGGAUGCAAGAUUGCUGGACCCCGUUUGAAAGGAGGAUUUUUUGGUCUCCAAGACCUGGACCUCAGCCACCCUCUGCAGCUCUCUCCUCC
rnacentral:lncRNA from 1 species